UACGUAGGGGGCUAGCGUUGUCCGGAUUUAUUGGGCGUAAAGAGCGUGUAGGCGGCCAGGUAGGUCUGCUGUGAAAACUCGAGGCUCAACCUCGAGACGUCGGCGGAAACCAUCUGGCUAGAGUCCGGAAGAGGAGAGUGGAAUUCCUGGUGUAGCGGUGAAAUGCGCAGAUAUCAGGAAGAACACCCGUGGCGAAGGCGCUUCCUGGGGCCAUCCUGACACUGAGAAGCGAAAGCUAGGGGAGCGAACGGG
rnacentral:rRNA from 1 species